CUGCGGCACCCAGUUGGCUCUCAGAGCCUGAGACGUUGGCUGCUGGUCUGGCUACGCUGCUGCCUCCCUUCGGCCCGCCCUGCUUGGCGCGGGGACCGCUGCGCACCGCUUCGGCUGUCGUUUCGGUCGGAACAGACUGCUGAGCGCUCUCCUCUCCGAUCCUGAUUGCGUCAGUGUGUAACAUUAUUUCUCAAUGCCUGCCAUAAAGCUGAGCUAUGCCCACUGUUGAGAGUGAAGCCAAAGCAAAAACCAAAGUUCGCUUUGAAGAAUUACUUAAGACCCACAAUGAUCUAAUUCGUGAAAGAAAAAAACUGAAGAAAAAACUUGCCAAAUCUAGAGAAAGCGUCCCAUUCGGCACUGUUAAAAGCAGUCUUCAUAAUAUUAAAGAUACUAAAAGUGAUGAUGUAAGUUGUAUUAACACUAAUAACCCAGAGAAGAGCAUGCGAGUCAGUAAAAACAAACUGAGGAAUACGCAUUCAGCAGCUGAAGAUCCAAAUAAUGUCAUCAGUGUAGAGGAAGACAAGCAAGGAAAGCCAAGUAAAAAAGUUACAAAGACUGCACAAGAAAUGGAACCAGAAACUUCUGAGAAGGUAGAUUCUGCACAUCAGAAAAUUCGAACAAAGUCACUGUCUGGUGUUGAUCAUCAAAAAAGUGAUAAGACAAAGGAAGGAAAAGAAAACAAUAAUUUAGAAGGGGAAGAAGAACUCAUGCAAGCAUAUCAGCUCCAGGUAGCUGAAGAAAUGGCAAAGGAGAUUAAGAAGAAAAUAAGGAAGAAACUAAAAGAACAGUUGACUUACUUUCCCUCAGAUACUUUAUUGCAUGAUGACAAAUUGAGCAGUGAAAAAAGAAAAAAGAAAAAAAAGAAAAUUCCAGCCAUGUCUAAAGCUGAAACAAGCACAUUGAACAUCUCUGAUGACACUGUUGAGGGUGAACAAAAGGAAGACUUUCCAGUUGGAAACAUUACUUCAGAUUCUCAUCAAGAUGAUGAAAUAAGCUCAGUGGAACAAAAUGUGGAUGAUAAUAUGCCAGAUAACACAAAAUCCAAACCAAAAAAGACAAAAAAGAAGUCUAAAGCAGUUUCAGAUGAUAAUGAUGACAUUGAUGGUGAUGGUGUUCAUGAAAUAACAAGCCGAGAUAGUCCAGUUUAUCCCAAAUGCUUGCUCGAUGAUGACCUUGUCUUGGGAGUUUACAUUCACCGAACUGAUCGACUUAAAUCAGAUUUUAUGAUUUCUCACCCAAUGGUAAAAAUUCAUGUGGUUGACGAGAAUACUGGUCAAUAUGUCAAGAAAGAUGAUAGUGAACGACCUGUAUCUUCUUACUAUGAAAAAGAGAGUGUGGAUUAUAUUCUUCCUAUUAUGACUCAGCCAUAUGAUUUUAAACAAUUAAAAUCAAGACUUCCAGAGUGGGAAGAACAAAUUAUAUUUAAUGAAAAUUUUCCCUCUUUGCUUCGAGAGUUUGAUGAGAGUCCUAAAGUCAUCUUGUUCUUUGAGAUUGUUGAUUUUUUGAGCAUGGAUGAAAUUAAGAAUAACUCUGAGGUUCAAAACCAAGAAUGUGGCUUUCGGAAAAUUGCCUGGGCAUUUCUUAAGCUACUGGGAGCCAAUGGAAAUGCAAAUAUCAAUUCAAAACUUCGCUUGCAACUGUACUACCCACCUACUAAACCUCGAUCCCAAUUAAAUGUUGUUGAGGUUUUUGAAUGGUGGUCCAAAUGUCCAAGAAAUCGUUAUCCAUCAACAUUGUAUGUAACUGUGCGAGGAUUGAAAGUUCCAGACUGUAUAAAACCAUCUUACCGCUCUAUGACGGCACUACAGGAGGAGAAAGGUAAACCAGUAUAUUGCGAACGUCACCGUGAAUCAAGUUCAGUAGACACAGAUCCUGGAUUAGAAGAUUCAAAGGAAGUAGUAAAAUGGAAACGACUUCCUGGGCAGGCUUGCCGUAUUCCAAACAAGCACCUCUUCUCACUGAAUGCAGGAGAGCGAGGAUGUUUUUGUCUUGAUUUCUCCCACAAUGGAAGAAUAUUAGCAGCAGCCUGUGCCAGCCGGGAUGGAUAUCCGAUUAUAUUAUAUGAAAUUCCUUCUGGACGUUUCAUGAGAGAAUUGUGUGGCCACCUCAAUAUCAUAUAUGACCUUUGCUGGUCAACAGAUGAUCGCUAUAUCCUUACUUCAUCUUCUGAUGGUACUGCCAGGAUAUGGAAAAAUGAAAUAAACAAUACAAAUACUUUCAGGGUUUUACCUCAUCCUUCUUUUGUUUACACUGCUAAAUUUCAUCCAGCUGUAAGAGAGCUAGUGGUGACAGGAUGCUAUGAUUCUAUGAUACGGAUAUGGAAAGUUGAUAUGAGAGAAGAUUCUGCCAUAUUGGUUCGACAAUUUGAUGCUCACAAGAGUUUUAUCAACUCUGUCUGUUUUGAUGCUGAAGGUCAUCACAUGUAUUCAGGAGACUGCACGGGGGUGAUUGUUGUUUGGAAUACUUACGUCAAAGUUAAUGAUUUGCAGCAUUCAGUGCGCCACUGGACUAUAGAUAAGGAAAUUAAGGAAACUGAAUUUAAGGGCAUUCCAAUAAGUUAUUUGGAGGUUCAUCCCAAUGGAAAACGUUUAUUAAUCCAUACCAAAGACAGUACUUUGAGAAUUAUGGAUCUCCGAAUAUUAGCAGCAAGGAAAUUUGUAGGUGCAGCAAAUUACCGUGAGAAGCUUCAUAGUACUUUAACACCAUGUGGGACUUUUCUCUUUGCUGGAAGUGAAGAUGGCGUAGUAUAUGUUUGGAACCCUGAAACGGGAGAACAAGUAGCAAUGUAUUCUGACCUGCCAUUCAAGUCACCCAUUCGAGACAUUUCUUACCAUCCAUUUGAAAAUAUGGUUGCAUUUUGUGCAUUUGGACAGAAUGAACCCAUUCUUCUUUACAUUUAUGAUUUCCAUGUAGCCCAGCAGGAGGCUGAAAUGUUCAAACGCUACAAUGGAACAUUUCCAUUACCUGGAAUACACCAAAGCCAAGAUGCUUUAUGUACCUGUCCUAAACUGCCUCAUCAAGGCUCUUUUCAAAUUGAUGAAUUUGUUCAUACUGAAAAUUCUUCAACAAAGAUGCAGAUAGUGAAGCAGAGACUUGAAACUGUCACAGAGGUGAUACGAUCCUGUGCUGCAAAAGUCAACAAAAAUCUCUCGUUAACUUCACCACCACCAGCGUCCUCACAACAGUCUAAGUUAAAACAGUCAAACUCGCUAUCCGCUCAUGAGAUUCUGCAUCAGUUUGGUUUCACUCAGACCGGGAUUAUCAGCAUAGAAAGAAGGCCUUGUAACCAUCAAGUAGAUUCACCUCCAACGCCUUGGAGCCAAGACCAAGAUGCUGACAGGAUUGAUUCUUCUGAGGCCUAUCUUGGUUUGUAGAUAGUCACCUUCUCAUUAUGUCCCCACACAACCUUUUUCUCUGUCAUAUAUGCUCCUGCUGUCUCUUCCUUUUCUUAUAAAGACACUCGUCCCAUUGAUCAGGAAUCUACCCUCAUGACCUCAUUCAACCAUAAUUGCUUCCUUAAAGGCCAUAUUUACAAGUACAGUAUUGAGGGUGUAAUUCAGUCCAUAACAUUCAUACACUGUAGAACAUCAAUGUUGGUAAGUCUUGCCAGGUGACUUGACGUAUGUAUUUAGUUAUGUAAGAGAAUAUAGUAAUCAGUGGAUACUGUAAUAGGAAAAAUGUAUUUUGGGACCUUAUACAAGUUUUUGUGGACCCCUGUAACAAUGAAGGGAUUCUUUGAUCAACAAAUCCUCAUGAAAUAUCCAGUAAAAGUUUCUAAACUUCAGUUUGAAGAGCUCCAGAUUGCUAGUAGUCCCCACAGUGAUAAGCCUGAUAUGGAACUUCCUAAAUGAUUCUAGUGCCUGAACUGACUGCCUCCUGUUCUCCUUUCCAGCAGCCCACCUAGGACUCAGAUAAAUAAGCAUACAUUGAUCUUGUCUUUGCAUAAGACUCAUUAAGGUUGUGGUAUCUCAGUAUGGCAGAGCCGGGAUGAGGAACAAUAGGAACAAACCCAUGUCUUGGGACUGGGGUUUUGUGUGUCAUGAAAGGGACUCAGUGGGCCUGCAGGUGAUCCAGGACAGUUGGUGUUCUUAGCAUAAGGAACUCUUUUUGUGCCACUAUCCAAAAAUGCAUUUUAACCUUCUUUCCUCUUUGCUUCUUUUUCCCCAUAGGUGAUUCUAGACAAAGGUGGCCUAUAAAUAGGUUUGGUUUUGUGAGAAAAAGAAAAAUCUGGGUUAUAAGUCUUGAUCAUACCACUUACUAAUUUAUUUGACUUACUAGUUUAUUUAACUUUAAUUUACCAGUUAUUAUUUGUACAUCAAAUUCCUCCUUUGUCCAGUGAAAAUAAGAAUAUCUACCCUCAGAGUUUUCAUGUGGGCUUAAUAAGAUAAUACACAAGCACCUACCAUGAAGUUCAGAACAGGUAUUCAGUUUUUAAAAUUAGUUUUUCUCUUUCAUGGUAGUGCCAAGUGGGAGAAUGAAGACAAGGAUAACAGGAGAAGGAAGAACAAAGGGAAAAAUUAAAGUUUCUACUUUCACAUAAGGUUUAGCAUCAUCAUACUAUAAGAGAUUUAUUUAUAAACCUUAAUGUCCUGCACUGCAUGAUGUAAAUUAGGUACUAUGCUAGGUAGUACUAUAAGCAUUGCAUUUGAACCAUUUAGAUUAUCAUUACUGCCCUUAUACCAAAUAGUGACAAGUUAAUUCCAAACUGAUUAAUUAAAAUCACCUGUUGAUAUGUUAAUAAAUCUUACUGUUUUUAAAGGUACCAGAACUGUUUUGUGAACACUAAUAGAAUCCCCUUCCAUCUUUCCAUUGGCAAUAUUAUUGAGUCUGAACUCCUUUGCCAUUCAUGAUCUGACCCCUACUUCCUCCCUCAGCCCUAACCUCCCUCACCCUGCAUCUUGACACUCACCCACAAUGCCAGGCUCCCUUUAUACUGAACUAUUUUGAGUUUGUCUUUGCUGGACUCUCAUACAUGUGGUGAAAUCUGGCUGAGAUACACUUCCCCUCACUACCCAGUGAAUUCCUGAUUAUUUUUUAGUUUUCCUGCAAAUGCUUAAUGAAAUAUCUCUUGUAGAUAUUGUCCUAUUUACCAGGUAUAGUUAAUAAAGCAGCAGGCACAUUAAGAUUUCAGUAGUUAAGUGAAUGAAUCAGUACUCAAUCUAAUUGCAAAUGAUUACAAUGAUUUUCUAUUUCAUCUAUAGUUGUGUAAGCUGUAUAUUUGCAAACCCUUUCUAAAUAAGGGGAAAAAAGUAGAAUAAGUAUAUUCUUCAGAUCUAAUAUGGAUCAAGUACUUCAGAUCUAAUAUGGAUCAAGAUCUCCCUUCCUUCAACUGCUAUGAGGGAUUUUUAAGUGCCGGUGCAGCCACUACCAUACCAUUUUUGACUUGAGUUUUUCCAAAGGAAAAAAAAUCAAAUAAAAUGAUUACUAUAAUAAUACAAAGAAGAAAAUUCUCACAGAAAGAACUUUCCUAUUAAAUUUGGACCUAGUGAAAGUGAAAGUAAGCUUAGAAGGAUGUUUUCAAAGAUAGAAGAUUUAGAUUGUUUACAUAAAACACCAAAAACUAUGUUUUUCUAGAGAAACAUCUCAAAAAGAGACAUUAACAGUAAACCAAGCGAUCACAACAAAAUUGUGCAAUCAGGUUGUUCCAUUGAGCUUUUCCUUUUUGUAAAACUAUUAACCUUCUGAAGAAUUUUCUUUCAGGUGCAUCUGCUUGCACAGAGAACAGGAUCUAAAGGUAGUGGCUCUUUAUGACUAUACAGCGAGCCGAUCAGAUGAACUAACCAUCCAUCGUGGAGACAUUAUCCGAGUGUUUUUCAAAGAUAAUGAAGACUGGUGGUAUGGCAGCAUAGGAAAGGG